CCUACGGGAGGCAGCAGUGGGGAAUUUUGGACAAUGGGCGCAAGCCUGAUCCAGCAAUGCCGCGUGCAGGAUGAAGGCCUUCGGGUUGUAAACUGCUUUUGUACGGAACGAAACGGCCCUUUCUAAUACAAGGGGCUAAUGACGGUACCGUAAGAAUAAGCACCGGCUAACUACGUGCCAGCAGCCGCGGUAAUACGUAGGGUGCGAGCGUUAAUCGGAAUUACUGGGCGUAAAGCGUGCGCAGGCGGUUAUAUAAGACAGAUGUGAAAUCCCCGGGCUCAACCUGGGACCUGCAUUUGUGACUGUAUAGCUAGAGUACGGUAGAGGGGGAUGGAAUUCCGCGUGUAGCAGUGAAAUGCGUAGAUAUGCGGAGGAACACCGAUGGCGAAGGCAAUCCCCUGGACCUGUACUGACGCUCAUGCACGAAAGCGUGGGGAGCAAACAGGAUUAGAUACCCUGGUAGUCCACGCCCUAAACGAUGUCAACUGGUUGUUGGGUCUUCACUGACUCAGUAACGAAGCUAACGCGUGAAGUUGACCGCCUGGGGAGGACGGUCCGGCGAGUUAGAACGUACGAAGAAGUUAGNGGCGNGNGAGNGCGACGGACGACGACGAGGGAGGAGG
rnacentral:rRNA from 1 species